CAGGCAUUUAUUGAAGGCUCAUUAGGAACACAGGAUUGGACUGGAUGCUUUGUAGGAAUUUAGCCAGCAAUGUGUUGACUAACUGCAGGAGUCCCCCGAAGGAAGAUGUUUUGCUGCAGUGCUUUUUGCCACAGGAUGGCAAAAUUACGCCCAGAUCUGAUUCUCCUGGAGAUUUCCUAUUCUGACUAGCUCCUAGAGCUCCAUGAGCAAGGAAGACCAGAAAAAUCUGAGAUGGGAGCUAUGGACAGUUAUCUUGGUUGGCAACCUAACAACAGUGCAGCACUCCUGUGAUAUAGCGUCUAACAGUGGUUGACGCCCAUUGCAGAGAACUUUGUGCCUAGUUGACCAAUGGCAUGGAAACUGUCUUAGAAAUUCCUAAGUGAGACUUUGAAGUGAAGAAGUGAA